GUGGGGAAUAUUGCGCAAUGGGCGAAAGCCUGACGCAGCAACGCCGCGUGGAGGAUGAAGGUCUUCGGAUCGUAAACUCCUGUCAGAGGGGACGAAAGCCCGAAAGGGAUUGACUGUACCCUCUGAGGAAGCCACGGCUAACUCCGUGCCAGCAGCCGCGGUAAUACGGAGGUGGCAAGCGUUGUUCGGAAUUAUUGGGCGUAAAGGGCGCGUAGGCGGCAGGGCAAGUCAGAUGUGAAAGCCCCGGGCUUAACUUGGGAAUUGCAUCUGAAACUGCUUUGCUUGAGUCCUGGAGGGGGUAGUGGAAUUCCCAGUGUAGCGGUGAAAUGCGUAGAUAUUGGGAGGAACACCUGCGGCGAAGGCGGCUACCUGGACAGUGACUGACGCUGAGGCGCGAAAGCUAGGGGAGCGAACGGGAUUAGAAACCCGAGUAGUCC
rnacentral:rRNA from 1 species